rnacentral:rRNA from 1 species
GACGAACGCUGGCGGCGUGCUUAACACAUGCAAGUCGAACGGAAAGGCCCUGCUUUUGUGGGGUGCUCGAGUGGCGAACGGGUGAGUAACACGUGAGUAACCUGCCCUUGACUUUGGGAUAACUUCAGGAAACUGGGGCUAAUACCGGAUAGGAGCUCCUGCUGCAUGGUGGGGGUUGGAAAGUUUCGGCGGUUGGGGAUGGACUCGCGGCUUAUCAGCUUGUUGGUGGGGUAGUGGCUUACCAAGGCUUUGACGGGUAGCCGGCCUGAGAGGGUGACCGGCCACAUUGGGACUGAGAUACGGCCCAGACUCCUACGUGAGGCAGCAGUGGGGAAUAUUGCACAAUGGGCGGAAGCCUGAUGCAGCAACGCCGCGUGCGGGAUGACGGCCUUCGGGUUGUAAACCGCUUUCGCCUGUGACGAAGCGUGAGUGACGGUAAUUGGUAAAGAAGCACCGGCUAACUACGUG